GACAGAGGGGGCAAGCGUUGCUCGGAAUCACUGGGCGUAAAGGGCGCGUAGGCGGGACGGCAAGUCGGUCGUGAAAUCCCUCGGCUCAACCGAGGAGCGUCGGCCGAUACUGCCGUUCUUGAGGGAUGCAGAGGAGACUGGAAUUCCCGGUGUAGCGGUGAAAUGCGUAGAGAUCGGGAGGAACACCAGUGGCGAAGGCGGCCUUCUGGACCAAUACUGACGCUCAUGCACGAAAGCGUGGGGAGCAAACAGG
rnacentral:rRNA from 1 species